rnacentral:lncRNA from 1 species
UCCACACCGUUCACUUUCCUUCUCACUCUCAUCACCAAUCUCUCGCGCACAGACCAUCUCAGUACCUGGUUAACUUGAAUAUUACAAAUCAAAGAGACAUCAAAAUCAUGGAGAAGAAUAAUAAGAAUGCUCGGAAGCCUCAUAAGCUGAUAUGUUCGAGAAAAGAGACGGGAAGGAGUCUCUGGCAAAGGGAACUAGGGUUCUAGCGACAAGAUUCAACAAGGUUGAACAGUGGAGGUAACAGGUGUUCAGGUCUGGAAUUCAGGGUAAAAUAAUUCAGGAUGUUCAGAUAUGGAAUUCUGAACCGAUGGCUUUGAUCUACAUCCCACUUUUAAUUCCAUGAUUUCUGGUCUUCAGAUGGUGAGUGUGAUGCACGAAGGCACUGGUGGUAUAACAAUCUGAUUAUACAGCUGUUAAAGGAUCUGAAGGAGGAGGAAUCUGAAUUGUUAUUCAUACUACUCCCUCAACUCUUAGAUACUACCCCACCAAGCUUCUGCUUCUUCUUCUUCUUCAGAGGGAGCUGAAUAGCUGAUGGUUUCUUUGCAUCAUAUAUCAUUGGUAACACCACAUGGUUUUCCAUUAUGGUGAUUGGCGGCUUUACAUUAACUAUAGGCUGGUACUCAUUGAGAGUUUGAGACCACGAAUCAGGGAUAAUCUUGACAGGUCAUAAAGCUGGAGCUUCAUAUAUGGAUGAAUGGGUCAAACGGUUCAAACGGGUCAGAUGUGGGUCAUUCAGUCACGUUUAUUUUCUGUUUUAAUGGGUCUAAAUUAUGGGUCUUUUUGCUUGGUUGAGUCAAAAUGUGGGACCAUGGGCUUCGUUGCUAGGGUUGUUUUUAAGUUGUUUUCUACACGUACAAGUGGUGGCGUUUUAGGUAUUAAAAGUCUCGUGAGUCUCAUUGUAUACAAGUUUUGAUUUCAACUUGUGUAUACAUAAUUACAUAUAGUCACUUCAAAUGGUCUACUCACUUCAACAAUCUAUAAAGACACCUUUAUAGCUGCAAUAGGGUCUUGUGAUCUAGGGUUUGAACCGGUGUACAUCUCCAUAUCGCAAUACAAAAGUAGAAU